GAUGAACGCUAGCGGCAGGCCUAAUACAUGCAAGUCGAACGAUAGAAGAGGGCUUGCUCUCUUCGAAAGUGGCGCACGGGUGCGUAACGCGUAUGCAACCUACCUUAAUCAGGGGGAUAGCCCGAAGAAAUUCGGAUUAACACCGCAUAAAAUCACAGUACAGCAUUGUACAAUGAUCAAAUAUUUAUAGGAUUAAGAUGGGCAUGCGUGACAUUAGCUAGUUGGCGGGGUAACGGCCCACCAAGGCGACGAUGUCUAGGGGAUCUGAGAGGAUGACCCCCCAAACUGGUACUGAGACACGGACCAGACUCCUCCGGGAGGCAGCAGUAAGGAAUAUUGGUAAAUGGAGGCAACUCUGAACCAGCCAUGCCGCGUGCAGGAAGACGGCCCUCUGGGUUGUAAACUGCUUUUAUUCGGGAAUAAACCUCAUUACGUGUAAUGAGCUGAAUGUACCGAAGGAAUAAGGAUCGGCUAACUCCGUGCCAGCAGCCGCCGUAA
rnacentral:rRNA from 1 species